rnacentral:rRNA from 1 species
UGGGGAAUAUUGCACAAUGGGCGAAAGCCUGAUGCAGCAACGCCGCGUGAGUGAUGAAGGCCUUCGGGUUGUAAAGCUCUGUCUUUUGGGACGAUAAUGACGGUACCAAAGGAGGAAGCCACGGCUAACUACGUGCCAGCAGCCGCGGUAAUACGUAGGUGGCAAGCGUUGUCCGGAUUUACUGGGCGUAAAGGAUGCGUAGGCGGAUUUUUAAGUGAGAUGUGAAAACCCUAAGCUUAACUUGGGGACUGCAUUUCAUACUGGAAAUCUAGAGUGCGGGAGAGGAGAAUGGAAUUCCUAGUGUAGCGGUGAAAUGCGUAGAGAUUAGGAAGAACACCAGUGGCGAAGGCGAUUCUCUGGACCGUAACUGACGCUGAGGCAUGAAAGCGUGGGUAGCAAACAGGAUUAGAUACCCUGGUAGUCCACGCCGUAAACGAUGAGUACUAGGUGUAGGAGGUAUCGACCCCUUCUGUGCCGCAGUUAACACAAUAAGUACUCCGCCUGGGAAGUACGAUCGCAAGAUUAAAACUUAAAUGAAUUGACGGGGUCAUAGCUGUUU